rnacentral:rRNA from 1 species
UGGGGCUCAUUCCACGAGUUCCGUGCCGCAGCAAACGCAUUAAGUGCCCCGCCUGGGGAGUACGGCCGCAAGGCUAAAACUCAAAGAAAUUGACGGGGGCCCGCACAAGCGGCGGAGCAUGCGGAUUAAUUCGAUGCAACGCGAAGAACCUUACCAAGGCUUGACAUACACCGGUAACGUGCAGAGAUGUGCGCCCCGCAAGGUCGGUGUACAGGUGGUGCAUGGUUGUCGUCAGCUCGUGUCGUGAGAUGUUGGGUUAAGUCCCGCAACGAGCGCAACCCUCGUCCCAUGUUGCCAGCGGGUUAUGCCGGGGACUCAUGGGAGACUGCCGGGGUCAACUCGGAGGAAGGUGGGGAUGACGUCAAAUCAUCAUGCCCCUUAUGUCUUGGGCUUCACGCAUGCUACAAUGGCCGGUACAAAGGGCUGCGAUACCGCGAGGUGGAGCGAAUCCCAAAAAGCCGGUCUCAGUUCGGAUUGGGGUCUGCAACUCGACCCCAUGAAGUCGGAGUCGCUAGUAAUCGCAGAUCAGCAACGCUGCGGUGAAUACGUUCCCGGGCCUUGUACACACCGCCCGUCAAGUCACGAAAGUCGGUAACACCCGAAGCCGGUGGCCCAACCCCUUGUGGGAGGGAGCUGUCGAAGGUGGGGCUG